rnacentral:tRNA from 1 species
UCCCUGAUAGUCCAGUGGUUAAGACUCUGUGCUCCCAAUUCAGGGGGCCUGGGUUUGAUCCCUGGUCAGGGAA